rnacentral:antisense_RNA from 1 species
UCAAGUUGCCUGUGGACUUCCACUCAGACUCUCAGAGCCCUGCUGGAGGAUGGAGAGACCACAUGGGACAGAGAACGGUUAUCCCACCGAGGCCACCAUAGACCAGCCAGCCCUCAGCGUACAUGCCAGCUAAUUACAGAUGCAGGAGCAAACCCCUGGCCCAUACAUCAGAUUUUGGAAGCAUUGCCUUCUACAGAAUCCACAGUAGUCCGAAGUUCUUCUACGGUUUUUGUCAAACUUUGAUUUUCCAUCUCUAGCUUCAAUAAUCUACUUGAUGUCAACUCAUUCACCUCAUGGCCCAGGGAUUUCUGGGGUGCUAUAAUAUUGAAAAAUACACCAUUGUAUUUACUCUUUACUGUUUUUACUAUGUUUACUCUUUACUAUUUAAAAAGUUGAGUGUAUAUGCAUUGCAUCAUCUGAUCCUUAACUUUAUUAAAAAUUCAAUGAGGUUAUAUAAGAUAAACAAGAUAAAAGAAGUAAAUCUUUUUUUUCCUUUUCUUUUUUUCUUUUUUUUAAAGAGACGGGGUCUCUCUCUGUCACCCAGGCUGGAGUGCAGUGAUGUGCUCCUAGCUCACUGCAGCCUCAAACGCCUGGUCUGAAGGGAUCCUCCCACCUCAGUCUCCCAAGCGGCCGGGACUGCAGGUACAGCCAGCUAAUUUUUUUAUUUUUUAGUAAAGACUGGGUCUCUGUUACUUAGGCUGGUCUCGAACUCCUGAGCUCAAGCAAUCCUCCUGCCUUGGCCUCCCAAAGUGCUGGGAUUACAGGCAUUAGCCGCUGCAACCAGCUAAGAGAUACAUGUUUAACUUUUAAUGCAUCCACAGCAUUCUAGUUAAAAAAAAGCAUAAAGUUUAGAUUGAAGAAAUUGGAGUUCAAGCAGACCCAUUAAAUAUUUUGCUGAUAUGAGAACAUUAGGAUUUACAAAUGAAAUAUGAGACCUACUAUUUCAAGAAAGGAAAUGAAUAAAGGUACUGGAGAGAAU